ACCCUAUCUCUAAGGAUCUCUGAUUUUCAGUGGUUCUGAGAUCCUAACCAGCGGCAUUAGGACCUUGGAAAGGUUUUGUGAUGACAUCACCUCUGGAACACUAAAACCCACCGGCCUCCAGGGAACUGGAGACUGCGCCGAGACGUCUGCACAACACACAAACGCCCCGCUCCCAAGUGGCAAACCGCUCUUUCCACUGGGUCUCGAUAGCCUGCAACAAAGGAGAAAAGCUGGGAGGCUACAGCGGAAGCCGAAAGAGCCAAGGACCCCGACCCUGCUAAAUCUGACCACACUCAGCACGGCGGCCCGUUUUGAGAAAUCAUGAUCUCCAUGAUACGUGCUUCAAGACGGCUGAUUUUUGAAAUAAACUGGAAUGGGGUCAUGAGACUGAGGGCUGUUUUGUCAUCUACAGACUGAGAA
rnacentral:lncRNA from 1 species